AUGGCAACCCUUUACGAGUCAUUCCACAAGGACCCAGAAAUGAUCAUAACUUUGACUAGUGACCAUGAUUUUCCAAAGAUCUUGAAGGAUAUGAUGGGACAUGUUCACCUUGAAGGAGAUGCUGUCUACAAGGGUUAUCCUUUCAUUGAAAAUGGAGUGGAACUUUGGUACGUGGAAGUACACCUCUUCCGUGAAAAAGGAGUUUGUCCAAAGACUACUGGGCAAUACUUUUUCAUUUCUCGAGUACCUCAAACCACCUUCUUCGACUCUGUUCGUGAAGCUGCCAUGGAAGCCAUACGUCAGAUUGGGGAAAUCCUUGAAGCCAGACUCCGUCAUGCCCAAGAGUAUUUGUGGGAAGUAUAUGCUGAGCUGAUGGACAUGAAGUUCAUGGCUGCCGUGAAGGAGCAUAGGAUUAAAGAGUUCAAGGACUACAUCGCACGUUUUCAGAUGGACUAA
rnacentral:rRNA from 1 species